rnacentral:rRNA from 1 species
CCUACGGGUUGCAGCAGUGGGGAAUAUUGCACAAUGGGCGCAAGCCUGAUGCAGCCAUGCCGCGUGUAUGAAGAAGGCCUUCGGGUUGUAAAGUACUUUCAGCGGGGAGGAAGGCGAUAAGGUUAAUAACCUUGUCGAUUGACGUUACCCGCAGAAGAAGCACCGGCUAACUCCGUGCCAGCAGCCGCGGUAAUACGGAGGGUGUAAGCGUUAAUCGGAAUUAAUGGGCGUAAAGCGCGCGCAGGCGGUCUAUCAAGUCGGAUGUGAAAUCCCCGGGCUCAACCUGGGAACUGCAUUCGAAACUGGCAGGCUAGAGUCUUGUAGAGGGGGGUAGAAUUCCAGGUGUAGCGGUGAAAUGCGUAGAGAUCCGGAGGAAUACCGGUGGCGAAGGCGGCCCCCUGGACAAAGACUGACGCUCAGGUGCGAAAGCGUGGGGAGCAAACAGGAUUAGAUACCCGAGUAGUC